UCCUGGGGGUCCCAAUUCUCUUUCUUCUCAGUUCAAGAGACCAGAAGAUAUUCACUGGUAUCUCUCAGAGGCCGAAGUUUCCAGGCUCACAAGCACCAUAUAUCACCAGUGUUUUCAAGUUUUACCAACCUAACGGAUGAAAGAUGGCUCUAAUGUGCAUUUCCCUAAUUACAAAGCUGUGCCUAGCUGAACCUACCAGCAAGAUCCUCAGGCUGCCUGACCUCCUGGUCCUUGUCAAGCAUGUGGUCUCAGGCUGCUGUGACAACAUGGAGAAGUAAAGCCAAGUUGCUACCUAGAUUUGGGACUCCCUCCAGUCCAGAGUUGAAGCUUUUUCUGAAAAUGACAGUAACACGACAGCAAUACUAACAACAAUCAUCACUAUCUCCCCAGUAAUUGCUGAAGUCCGGGCUGUGUGCUGAGUACCAUAUACAGA